rnacentral:rRNA from 1 species
CAGUCGCCGGGUAAUACAGAGGGUGCAAGCGUUAAUCGGAAUUACUGGGCGUAAAGCGCGCGUAGGUGGUUUGUUAAGUUGGAUGUGAAAGCCCCGGGCUCAACCUGGGAACUGCAUCCAAAACUGGCAAGCUAGAGUACGGUAGAGGGUGGUGGAAUUUCCUGUGUAGCGGUGAAAUGCGUAGAUAUAGGAAGGAACACCAGUGGCGAAGGCGACCACCUGGACUGAUACUGACACUGAGGUGCGAAAGCGUGGGGAGCAAACAGGAUUAGAUACCCCCGUAGUCCCUGUCUCUUAUACC